rfam:Aedes albopictus isolate Foshan contig135393, whole genome shotgun sequence.
UGUUCUGUGGCUUCGUUGGUAAAAGGGCCGGUCUAGCGAAUACGGAGUCGUGGGUUCGAUUCUCACCAGAACGC